GAUGAACGCUAGCGGCAGGCUUAACACAUGCAAGUCGAGGGGUAACAGGAGGUGCUUGCACUUCGCUGACGACCGGCGCACGGGUGCGUAACGCGUAUACAAUCUGCCUUUUGCUGAGGGAUAGCCCAGAGAAAUUUGGAUUAAUACCUCAUAGUAUGUAGAGUUCGCAUGGACAUUACAUUAAAGGUUACGGCAAAAGAUGAGUAUGCGUUCUAUUAGCUAGAUGGUGUGGUAACGGCAUACCAUGGCAACGAUAGAUAGGGGCCCUGAGAGGGGGAUCCCCCACACUGGUACUGAGACACGGACCAGACUCCUACGGGAGGCAGCAGUGAGGAAUAUUGGACAAUGGAGGCAACUCUGAUCCAGCCAUGCCGCGUGCAGGAAGACUGCCCUAUGGGUUGUAAACUGCUUUUAUACAGGAAGAAACCUUUCCACGUGUGGGAAGCUGACGGUACUGUAAGAAUAAGGAUCGGCUAACUCCG
rnacentral:rRNA from 1 species